rnacentral:piRNA from 1 species
AUGAGAUCUGGUGCUCUCUGCUGGCAUGC